UACGGAGGGGGCUAGCGUUGUUCGGAAUUACUGGGCGUAAAGGGCGCGUAGGCGGCGUGACAAGUCACUUGUGAAAUCUCUGAGCUUAACUCAGAACGGCCAAGUGAAACUGUUGUGCUAGAGUGCAGAAGGGGCAAUCGGAAUUCUUGGUGUAGCGGUGAAAUGCGUAGAUAUCAAGAGGAACACCUGAGGUGAAGACGGGUUGCUGGGCUGACACUGACGCUGAGGCGCGAAAGCCAGGGGAGCAAACGGG
rnacentral:rRNA from 1 species